UGUUUCCCAUCUCUUCUCGAGAAACAAGGGGGCUAUCUCGUUGCAAAAUUGUACUCAAUUUCAUAUGUGGAAAUUCCGCCAAGAUCCUUCCUUUUAUUCCCUAGUUGGGGGAAUAAUCCGCCCGAAUCGUAUUUUUGGUUAGGCAAUGUGUGGUUGGGAAAGAAGGAUCGAUUUUUUAGCAAGAUAGGAAUAGCGUAGUGUAGGGAAAAGUGU